rnacentral:rRNA from 1 species
UAAAACGUGGGAGGCGAACGUUAUCCGGAUUUACUGGGCGUAAAGGGAGUGUAGGCGGUUCUUUAAGUCAGGUGUGAAAUUUCUUGACUCAAUCAAGAGAAGUCAUCUGAAACUGAGGGACUUGAGGGCGGCAGAAGGAAACGGAAUUCCCGGUGUAGCGGUGAAAUGCGUUGAUACCGGGAAGAACACCAGUGGCGAAGGCGGUUUCCUAGGCUGUUUCUGACGCUGAGACUCGAAAGCGUGGGGAGCGAAGCGGAUUAGAUACCCGCGUAGUCCACGCCCUAAACGGUGGACACUAGAUAUGGGGAGUAUCGACCCUCCUCGUGUCGAAGCUAACGCUUUAAGUGUCCCGCCUGGGGACUACGACCGCAAGGUUA